rnacentral:lncRNA from 1 species
CUCCCAGCAUGGCGGACCCGGAAGCGGCGCCCGGCGGCGGCGGCCGGGCGGGAGCCUGAGCCGCGGAGCGCCCGGGACCCCGGCAGCCCGCCACCCCCGGACACAGCCCAGGACAUGGUGCAGGGUGAAGAGCAGAGCUGAAGACGCUCCCACCACUCACUCCACAGCCUGUCCCACCCUCCUGAGGACUCCAUGAGGCAGGACACGGGCUGAUGCUCUCACCCCGCCAUGGAUGGGGGGAACAGCUUCCCGCAGCACCAGCAGCCGGGCGAUGCCAUCCGCGGCAUCCCCGGCCUCCGCUCCCAGCUCGUCGUGCCAGACCUGGAGAAUCCCAUGCUGGCCGCCGACUCAUGGAGUAGCUGCUACCCAGUCUCUUUCCCAACCUCAUCCUUCCCAAGUGAAAACCAGCAAUAUUUUAGCCCCCCUCAGGAUUUUUAUAUGGAUUCCAUCAGCAGACCACAUUUCUUAGACACAAACUAUGCAGCUGUGGACUCCACUGACUUCUUAACAAAAAAUGGGGGUUUUCCUCAGGUAAGUGCAGAGUUCCUGAUGUCUUUGGGGCAAAAUGGGGCUUUGGAGUGCUGGGAAUUGCUUUAUAGUGUUGCCUUACUUAGGGAAAAUGAAGAGAUGGGCAAUAAGG